rnacentral:lncRNA from 1 species
AGCUUGAAAACCACCAGACAAUAAUAAUGACAGAAACACGAAUUGUAAGUAUCAAUUCCAACAAAAAAUAAGUAAUAAAUUUUCUUCUCUCUUUUUUGGUUUCUAAUUGAGCAAAUACCACCGUGUUUUCCUUCUCAUUACUUUUAUCUUUUGCUUUGCAGAUUCAUGAAAUCCAUCCAAGAAGUCGGUCAGGGAGAAUCAGUGAAAUUGUCAAGAUAAAGUGAUAUGAAUAGGCAUCUCAUAUGAGCAGCUUAUGCAGUAGAACAACAUGAACUGGUAGAAGAGUUUUGUAGACAGAGUUGAGCAGUAUGAAAGUUUAAAAUACAGCUUAAGGAUGCUUUCCACACAAUUGAAGUGCAAGGACUGCUUCAGUAAAAAAAAAAGAAAAAAAGAAACAACAUCCAUAAAAUGGAUGAUCAAGUGAAAUAUUACUUUGAUACAUAUAUUCUUUAUAAUUAACUCAAUUUAUUUGUGACUACCGCAACAAAUAAAGACAACUUUAGAAUUGUUGGGCCCAUGCUCAGCAUGGCCAUGAUUGUCUAGUACUUACUAAUAAGCGGUUAAGUUCUAUGGCACCUUGAAGGUGCAAAUGUUAUUUGUACAAUCAGAUCACUUAAAGGCAAUUACAAUUUACUCUAUUUAAUAGAAUUGAUUAGUAGCUUAAAAUAAAUGGUACUUAACCUGUUAUAAUAUGUUUGAU